CCUACGGGGGGCUGCAGUAAGGAAUAUUCCGCAAUGCGCGAAAGCGUGACGGAGCAAUGCCGCGUGCAGGAUGAAGCGGUUUCGCCGUGUAAACUGCUGUCAGGGGCAGGAAAUACUGAUCCGCCCCAGAGGAAGAGACGGCUAACCCUGUGCCAGCAGCCGCGGUAAGACAGGGGUCUCGAGCGUUAAUCGGAAUCACUGGGCUUAAAGGGUGCGUAGGCGGACCAGUAAGCGUCCUGUGAAAUCCCAUGGCUCAACCAUGGAAUUGCAGGGCGAACUGCUGGUCUUGAGGAAGCUAGAGGCUGGCAGAACGAUUGGUGGAGCGGUGGAAUGCGUAGAUAUCAAUCGGAAUGCCGAAAGUGAAGACAGCCAGCUGGGGCUUUCCUGACGCUGAGGCACGAAAGCGUGGGUAGCAAACCGGAUUAGAUACCCCGGUAGUC
rnacentral:rRNA from 1 species